GUUCAGACUCCAUGUUGAGUGGACGGAGCAGAAGGAGGUAAACUGAAGGCUGAGGCAGGACUGACUUCAGAUCAGAAGAUGAGUAAUCGUGUGGAGGAAGAGGAGGACAGAGCAGAGUCUCUAGUCUCCGGCUGUCUGUCUAUGAAGAGUGACGCGUCCAAACGUGAACCUCUGACCUUCAGUAAUGAACCUGGACCCUCAGACACAAAAGUUCAGUACAGACAGAGAGCAGAGUCUCCAGUAUCCAGCUGUCUGUCUAUGAAGAGUGACGGGUCCAAAGAUCAACCUCCAUGCUUCAGUAAUGAACCUGGACCCUCAGA